UACGAAGGGGGCUAGCGUUGCUCGGAAUCACUGGGCGUAAAGCGCACGUAGGCGGCUUUCUAAGUCAGGGGUGAAAUCCUGGAGCUCAACUCCAGAACUGCCUUUGAUACUGGAGAGCUUGAGUCCGGAAGAGGUGAGUGGAACUCCGAGUGUAGAGGUGAAAUUCGUAGAUAUUCGGAAGAACACCAGUGGCGAAGGCGGCUCACUGGUCCGGUACUGACGCUGAUGUGCGAAAGCGUGGGGAGCAAACA
rnacentral:rRNA from 1 species